rnacentral:rRNA from 1 species
CGCGGCCUAUCAGCUUGUUGGUGGGGUGAUGGCCUACCAAGGCGACGACGGGUAGCCGGCCUGAGAGGGUGUCCGGCCCACACUGGGACUGAGACACGGCCCAGACUCCUACGGGAGGCAGCAGUGGGGAAUAUUGCACAAUGGGCGGAAGCCUGAUGCAGCGACGCCGCGUGAGGCAUGACGGCCUUCGGGUUGUAAACCUCUUUCACCAAGGACGAAGCGGGAGUGACGGUACUUGGGGAAGAAGCACCGGCUAACUACGUGCCAGCAGCCGCGGUAAUACGUAGGGUCCGAGCGUUGUCCGGAAUUAUUGGGCGUAAAGAGCUCGUAGGCGGCUCGUUGCGCCUACCGUGAAAACUGGAGGCUUAACCUUCAGCUUGCGGUGGAUACGGGCGGGCUUGAGUUCGGUAGGGGAGACUGGAAUUCCUGGUGUAGCGGUGAAAUGCGCAGAUAUCAGGAGGAACACCGGUGGCGAAGGCGGGUCUCUGGGCCGAUACUGACGCUGAGGAGCGAAAGCGUGGGGAGCGAACAGGAUUAGAUACCCUGGUAGUCCACGCUGUAAACGUUGGGCGCUAGGUGUGGGUGACAUCCACGUUGUCCGUGCCGUACCUAACGCAUUAAGCGCCCCGCCUGGGGAGUACGG